AGUAAUCGUGGAUCAGCAUGCCACGGUGAAUACGUUCCCGGGUCUUGUACACACCGCCCGUCACACCAUGGGAGCUGGUAACACCCGAAGUCAGUAGUCUAACCGCAAGGAGGACGCUGCCGAAGGUGGGAUUAGCGACUGGGGUGAAGUCGUAACAAGGUACC
rnacentral:rRNA from 1 species